rnacentral:rRNA from 1 species
AUUGAACGCUGGCGGCAGGCCUAACACAUGCAAGUCGAGCGGUAGCACAAGAGAGCUUGCUCUCUGGGUGACGAGCGGCGGACGGGUGAGUAAUGUCUGGGAAACUGCCUGAUGGCGGGGGAUAACUAGUGGAAACGGUAGCUAAUACCGCAUAACGUCGCAAGACCAAAGUGGGGGACCUUCGGGCCUCACGCCAUCAGAUGUGCCCAGGUGGGAUUAGCUGGUAGGUGGGGUAACGGCUCACCUAGGCGACGAUCCCUAGCUGGUCUGAGAGGAUGACCAGCCACACUGGAACUGAGACACGGUCCAGACUCCUACGGGAGGCAGCAGUGGGGAAUAUUGCACAAUGGGCGCAAGCCUGAUGCAGCCAUGCCGCGUGUGUGAAGAAGGCCUUCGGGUUGUAAAGCACUUUCAGCGAGGAGGAAGGGUAAUGUGUUAAUAAGACAUUGCAUUGACGUUACUCGCAGAAGAAGCACCGGCUAACUCUGUGC